AGGACGAACGCUGGCGGCGUGCUUAACACAUGCAAGUCACGGGGGGUAGGCAAUACCAACCGGCGAACGGGUGCGUAACACGUGAGCAACCUACCGAUUUGUGGGGGAUAGCCGGCCCAACGGCCGGGUAAUACCGCAUACGCUCUUUGGGCUUCAUGGCCUAUUGAGGAAACCUCCGGGGCAAAUCGAGGGGCUCGCGGCCUAUCAGCUAGUUGGCGAGGUCAUGGCUCACCGAGGCGACGACGGGUAGCUGGU
rnacentral:rRNA from 1 species